ACCUUCUAAAGCCGCUGCAAGGAACACUAAAUGGAGGCAAAGCCUCAUUUUCCCAGGUGCUGGAGGGGAAAAUCCUUAGGGGGAUUGGCUGGUAACUGCACAGACCCAGGGAGCUGCCGAUUGUGUCUUCGGGUGCA